GUGGCUGUAGCUCAACGGUUAGAGCGCUUCCCUGUGGAGGAAGAAGUUGCGGGUUCAAUUCCCGUCAGCCACC
rnacentral:tRNA from 1 species